UAGGGAAUAUUGGACAAUGGGUGAGAGCCUGAUCCAGCCAUGCCGCGUGCAGGAAGAAGGCGUUAUGCGUUGUAAACUGCUUUUGCCAGGGGAUAAAAAGACCGUGCGCGGUUAAUUGAAGGUACCUGGUGAAUAAGCCACGGCUAACUACGUGCCAGCAGCCGCGGUAAUACGUAGGUGGCAAGCGUUGUCCGGAUUUAUUGGGUUUAAAGGGUGCGUAGGUGGCCCUGUAAGUCAGUGGUGAAAUAUCUCAGCUUAACUGAGAGGGUGCCAUUGAUACUGCAGGGCUUGAGUACAGAUGAGGUAGGCGGAAUUGACGGUGUAGCGGUGAAAUGCAUAGAUAUCGUCAAGAACACCGAUAGCGAAGGCAGCUUACUAAGCUGUAACUGACGCUGAGGCACGAAAGUGUGGGGAUCAAACAGGAUUAGAUACCCUUGUAGUCCCUGAGCGGGCUGGCAAGGCGCAU
rnacentral:rRNA from 1 species